AGCGAACGUUAGCGGCGCGCCUAACACAUGCAAGUCGCACGAGAAAGGGAGCAAUCCCCGGUACAGUGGCGGACGGGUGAGUAACGCGUGGGAAUCUACCCUAGAGCGGGGGACAACCCGGGAAACCCGGGCUAAUACCGCAUACGUCCUACGGGAGAAAGAGGGCCUCUGCUUGCACGCUCUCACUCCAGGAUGAGCCCACGUCCGAUUAGCUAGUUGGUAGGGUAAAGGCCUACCAAGGCCACGAUCGGUAGCUGGUCUGAGAGGAUGAUCAGCCACACUGGGACUGAGACACGGCCCAGACUCCUGCGGGAGGCAGCAGUGGGGGAAUAUUGGACAAUGGGCGCAAGCCUGAUCCAGCAAUGCCGCGUGUGUGAAGAAAGGCCUGCGGGUUGUAAAAGCACUUUCAGUGGGGAAGGAAACGAAG
rnacentral:rRNA from 1 species